CCCGGGCUGCCAGUGCCCCAGCCCCGCUGCACGGGGCUGCUGCCGCCCGCCUCCCCCAGCUCCGGCACCUCAGGGUGCUGGCACCUCUCAGCGCUGACGCGUGCCAGACGGGCGAUCCUCUGCAAAGCCUCCGAGCAGCCAGCAAAUCAUGGGACGCCUUGUAGGAGGUGCUGCUAUCACAGUGAAUGAUUUAUGAGCUAUUUUGGAAGUGGAGCUGGAGCCCUUGGAGUCAAGCUGUCUUCUCUUUCAAGGGGACACGACACACACUCAAUGAAUGGGAGCUGCCGAAGCAGGUUGGAGGAAACCGCUUCCGCUUCAGCUGUGCGCACGCGAGUUCGUGUCCGGAAACAUCAGGACAACUUAGCAAGGCCUGCAACUGAUUGUCUUCUGCCAGCGCCGGGGCACCAACCCUGCACGCCGUCGUGCAGCCGCUCCUGCUGGGCCCGGACGCAGGGAAAGGGCUCGAGCGGAGCGAGCCGCUCGGGUCUGGGUAGCCGCAGUCCUCCCCUCCGGCCCAGCGGUCCCUCGGUCUGAACCUGGGCUGAAGGGAAGGCCCCGCAGGCGGGCAUCCCCUCUGACGGGUCUGCCUCCUGCAGAAGAGUCUCUCUGCCUUAUAGCAAAUGUUUUGUUCUAUUCGUUUCCAUAACCAAAAACUCCACGCAGACCCGACCUCUGCGCUGGCACCGGUGCCGACCCGAAGCAGCCCGCUGGGGCCGGGGAU